UACGGAGGGGACUAGCGUUGUUCGGAAUUACUGGGCGUAAAGCGCACGUAGGCGGAUUUGUAAGUCAGUGGUGAAAUAUGGCAGCUCAACUGUCAAGGUGCCAUUGAUACUGCGGAGCUUGAGUACAGAUGAGGUAGGCGGAAUUGACAGUGUAGCGGUGAAAUGCUUAGAUAUCGUCAAGAACACCUAUAGCGAAGGCAGCUUACUAGGCUGUAACUGACGCUGAGGCACGAAAGUGUGGGGAUCAAACAGG
rnacentral:rRNA from 1 species